ensembl:lncRNA
AAAUAAUGUUUGCACAAUCAAAAUCGAUUUUAUCUCAUUGUUACUUGGUUAAUAUUCCUGAAUUACAUUUUCCGGAGGGAAAGAAAUAGAAUUCAGUUAUGUAAGAGUUUCCCCAGAUUUCUGUUGACCCUUAGUCACAAGCCUAACAAGUUGUUAAAUGCUCUUAAAUUCAUAUAGACAGCUUUAAAGGUUACCAUGUGCCCUGCUUUUAAUUAUAAGUGCUAUAAUACCUCUUUAUAAGCCUUAUAUUUUACCCAUUCUAAUUGCUAUGUAAGUGUAUAGAACCCAUUCACCAACUAAAUAGGUCAUUGUCUGUAACUGAGACCAAAAUGUGUUUUUUUUUUUUUUCCCCUCUCUAUAUAUAUGUGUGUGUGUGUGUGUGUAUGUAUGUGUGUUGUCACCAAGUAGUUCCUAAUGAAGCUGCUGUUGGAACAGCAGUUAACCUGUAACUGUGAAUGCUUUAUGUCUUAGUUAUUUGGGUAUUACAUGCAUAAGGUGUGCUAAACUCGUAUGACUUACAAACUGGUGGAAAUGCUGUUAUACCACCUUACAUGAGUUCAUCUGGUUAAUUUUUAGGUCUUUUGCUGGUGUUGAUGUAAAAUGGAAUCCCACAAAUAAAGAGUAUUUGUGUUGGUUUCAGAAACGGACUUAAGAUUUUUCUGUGGUUCGUGCUUCAGAAAUUCUCUGAUGUGAAUAUGCUUCUCUUCCACUGGCAAUCCUUAACAUCUAGCAGAGAACUUCCUUGGGCUCCGAAAUUCUGUUGAAGGAGAGUAUAUACAGUCUUGUGAUUCUUACUCACAGUGUUACAGCAAAUUAAUACUUAAAACGUUUGGAAACGGGUAUGUUUCAGGUGGGUUGAGUGGAUGUAAAACAGUGUUGUUAUACAGUUUUUUUUAACAGGAAGCGUUGCUGCUGAAAUUGUCUUUUUAUAGGAUGGAAUCUGAAGGAAGCAUCUUUGUUACCUGCUUAUCUUGACAUAGACUUUUGACACUGUCUUCCCCUUAGAUCCUGCUAGAGAAGCUGACGAAAUACUGUCUGGAUGAGCAUAUGAUGUGGUGGGUUGGAAACUGGCAGAAAGCUGCACUAAGAGGAUUGUGAUCAGGGGCACAAAGUCCAGUUAGAGGCCUGUAACUAGCGCUGUACCCCAGGUCCGGGCUGGGCUUCAGUCCUGUUGAGCAUGCUCAUUAACCAUCUGGAUGAUGGGGCACAGCAUACCUUCAGCAGGUGGCUGAUACACCAAAGUGUUGUGCUGUCAUGGAAAGGGACGUGGUCAGGCUGGAGAAAUGGGCUGGUAUGAAGCACAGUAAGUUCAAUGAAGGGAAAUGCGAAGUCCUGCACGUGGGAGGAAUAAUCCCAAGUGCCAUACGAGGACUAGACUGGCUGAGAAGCACCUUUGCAGAAAGGAAUUUGAAGGUACUGGGGGACACCAGGUUGAACCGUGUCAGCAAUGUGUUUUUGUAGUAGAGAAGAUUAAUGUUUGGGCUGCAUCAGGGGGAGUGUCCUCAUCAGGUUGAGGAAGGUGAUGCUUCCCUUUUACUCAGCACUGGUGAGGCCUUACCUGGAAUGCUGUGUCCAGGUUUGGGCUCCUCAGUACCAAAGAGACAUGGAUCUCCUGGACAGAGGUGGGGAAGGUGUAUUUCCCUUUCGAUGAAGGGAAAGGAGUGCCUCUCAUGAGGGAAGGUUUUGAGAGCUGGGAUUGUACAGCCUGGAAAUGAGAAGGUUCAGUGCAUGUGGAAUCCCAUCAGUGUUUACAAAUAUGUGAGGAGAGGGUGCGAAGAAGAGGGAGCCGGGCUCCUCUGAGUGGUGCCCAGCGCUAGGUCAAGAGGCCGUGGGCAAAAACUGGAUCACAGGACAUUCUCUCUAAACAUUGGGAUGCACUUCUGUGCUGUGAAGGUGAUGGACCACUGGAAGAGAUUGUCCAGGGAGGCUGCGGAAUGUCCUCUUUGGAGAUCUUAAAAAGCCUCCCGGACGUGGGCCUGGGCACCCUGCUUUGCUUGAGUAGAAACUGGACCAGAUGGCCUCCACGAGUCACUUCCAACCUCAUCCAUUAUGUGAUGUGAAGCAUAUGCUAAAAAAAAAUUCCAGGUAUUAUUCAAAUGUAACACUGGAAGCGAACACCAGUCUACUAGUAUUUGAAUGUGGUGGUAUUUCUGGAAGUGUGUUUGUGAGUCCAAAUACAUGUCUUUCUCUUAUCUG